ensembl:antisense_RNA anr-46 ncRNA
GAAUUGGCCUCUCGCACUAACUAAUAGUAAGUAUAUAAAAUCAAGAAUUAUUGAAAACAAAACAACAAAUGUUUCGUUGGUUGACAAUAUUUUAAUAGAACGAACGAUAAGUAGUCUAUAAGCUGUCAAAGGUGAACUUCAAUACUGUACUAAUACUUUACUAAUAUAUAUAUAUAUAUAUAUAUAUAUAUAUAUAUAUAUAUAUAUAUAUAUAUAUAUAUAUAUAUAUAUAUAUAUAUAUAUAUAUAUACUCAUAUUAUACUAAUACGAAUGCAAUACAAUACGGUAUGUGAAUACUUUUGCCAUUUCAAUAUACCUUAUAUUAUCUUCACUUUCAUCAAUUGAUUCUUCAGGUAGAUCAAGUAUCUGCUCCAGUAAAUCUCUGCUGUCAAUUUCGACGGUCAAUAAUGUUAAUCUUGCAUUCGUCUCGGACAAUAGCCAACUUCGGAAAAAUCUAUUCAAGUCAGCAGGCCUCAAACUGGACAAAAAGAGAAAUAACUUCACGCAGUCGCAUUUUAGUAGUUUGUCAAUGUUAAACCAAUUUGAGUAGUUUAUAUACAAUUCGGGCAGAUCAAACAGAAUAUCACAUUGAAAGUUGUCUUCUACAACCAUAUCAAGACCCAAACACCGUUCGACUUUCCGAAUUCUGUUCCAGACUGCUGAAAAUGUUUCAGUUGACACAUUCUUUCCUCUGAUAAGGAAAUUUUGGACAGUGUCUUGUUUAGAAAACAACCAGUCGAUUAUUGAUUGAUGUUGAUUUUUAAAUAAAGUUACAUCAAUUCCAAUAAAAUAGAUUGGAGUGUU